AUUGAACGCUGGCGGCAUGCCUUACACAUGCAAGUCGAACGGUAACGCGGGGCAACCUGGCGACGAGUGGCGAACGGGUGAGUAAAGUAUCGGAACGUGCCCAAUAGUGGGGGAUAGCCCGGCGAAAGCCGGAUUAAUACCGCAUGAGACCUGAGGGUGAAAGCGGGGGACUCGCAAGAGCCUCGCGCUGUUGGAGCGGCCGAUAUCAGAUUAGGUAGUUGGUGGGGUAAAGGCCUACCAAGCCGACGAUCUGUAGCUGGUCUGAGAGGACGACCAGCCACACUGGGACUGAGACACGGCCCAGACUCCUACGGGAGGCAGCAGUGGGGGAAAUUUUUGGUACGAAUAGGCGGCGAACGACCUCGAUCCACGACCACUGCCGCCGUGCGGGAAGG
rnacentral:rRNA from 1 species